AACUGCCAGGAUGAUUAAUGAGGGUUCGACACAAGUCUCAGUGGUUUAUGGCUUGAACGAUUUACGUGACUACUAGUAACCUGGAUUCCCUCCAUUUCUUGGCACACCUGUAGUUGCUCAGUACUCACGUGUGAUUGUACGGAGGUAGAACAAAGCCAGUGCUAUGUCUUCGGUACCAGUGUGUGUUAUCGUCUGCUGGUCCUAUCCUCAAUCGCUGGCACACUUACAAAUAUGGAACGGGGCCUCAUUAAAUUUGCUCUAUGCAACACUCUUGAAUGAUUUUUAAGGGUAUAGUAUUCCUUAAAGGGAUUUUUAAGGGUAUAGUAUUCCUUAAAGGGAUUUUUAAGGGUAUAGUAUUCCUUAAAGGGAUUUUUAAGGGUAUAGUAUUCCUUAAAGGGAUUUUUUUUUUUAAGCCUACAUAUUAAUCUCCAACACCACAUCAACAUGUAAGAAUGGUGUCUUUCUAUGUUUCGUAGCAGAGGAAGAUGUUUGUAGGCAAUGCCUACUCGCUAUUGGUCAAUCACUCAAUGCACACCGAUGUCAUUGGAAAAAACAAUUGUUAAUAUUUUUUUACUAGGAACAUCAUUUUCACAUGUUUGGUGCUGGACAAGUGUACUUUUUUAAAAGGUGGUAGACCCUUAGAAUGUUUAAUUCUACUGGGGCCCUUGUGUUUUAAGUGGUUUUACCAACUAGACUGUUUAAUGUUACUCUAUUGUCUUUAGAUGAAGAAUCCGAGGAGGAGGCUCCACCCCCAAAGAAGGCUGAAGGUCACGGCAGCCAAGGAGUAGUCCGACGAUGAUGAGGACUCUGAGGAAGAGGAGAUGGACACCACCCCGGCACCCGCAGCAAAGAAAGCAGGCAUGGUCAAGGCUAAGGAGGAGUCUGAUGAUGAAGAUGAUGACGAAGACUAUGAUGAAGAUGGAAGUUUGGCUACGUAGAAGGACGGAGGACAUGCAGACGGCCUUGGAGCUGAACGGCAAGAAGUUCAUGGGACAGGAGUUGAAGAUGGGGAAGGCCCGCAGCAAAGGGAACUACCAGGAGGAAAAAGGUACAUUUUAUAUUACUGUUACUAUUUGUAGUGCAUUGACUAAAUCUUGCUGUUUGAAACUAAGGUUUUCACAAAUGUGAUAAUUGAAUAAACUGAAGUGGUGAUUUAAA